GUCUGCGGCCAUGCCACCCUGAACAAGCCCGAUCCCAUCUGAUCUCGGAAGCUAGCAGGGUCAGGCCUGGUUAGUACUUGGAUGGGAGACCACUUAAGAAGACCACCUGGGCGUAAAAA
rnacentral:rRNA from 1 species